GGCUGCAGUGGCUGGAGGGAAGACGUCUGGCGUUCCUGAGUUCAACGAAGAAAUUCCGUUGUUCUUGUGCAUUAGAGGCGUGCAAACCAUUAUAAACAGUCGAUGUCAGUCCGAUAAUUCAUUUGUUAUGAAAAAAAGAGAGAAACAACCGAAUGUGCGAGUGUGUGUGUGUGCAAGAGGUAAAAAUCCCGAGGCAUCGCGUGUAUCGGUCGUAUGAGUGGAGCGUGUUCGUGCCUGAGUAUCGAUGCAUGUUUGGCAAAAGUAUGCUGGGAUCGGUGUAAAAGCUGCAUGAGCGAAGAGAGAGUGUUCCUGUGAACCAGUUCACGGAUCGUUACGCGGAAGGCGAACCCCCCGCAGGAGGGUGAAAAGUUGCCGUUUCCCUGUUUUCAACGGACGCCGCCGACCGGUUCGUUCUGUACGGUGUCGUUAAUGGGACAGACGGUUGCGCGUCUGGAAGAAAAGGCGACAAGGGUAGAUCACCGGCUGAGAAAAGGGGGAGGGUGCGCCGCUGGUAUUCUUCGCAGCAGGGGUACAGAGCAAGGUCAGCAUACAGCGAACCUGAAAGAUCGAACAUUCGUAAAACUUUGAGAGGUUGCCACUCGAACAACGCCACUGGCAACUGAACAGCAGUUAUUUUGAUGCGUGGUGUUUGAAUGGGAAGAAUGGAAAGCGUACCAUCGAUCAUUCACGGACACCCAGUACAAGUGCGAUCGGGGGAUCGAGACGCGGCGAGUGCGUGAAGCGGGUAAAAGGAGGAAAAGGAUGAAAAAGGAGGAACUAGCGGCAGCGCGCGGCGGUAGAAGCGGGGCCGGAAGUGGUUCCAUCUGGCUCCCCCGUUGGUCUGACCUGUUGAACCACCUCGUGACCGGAAGUAUACCAUACACCUACGGGCACCGUGCGCUCGUCGUCCCCCGGCCCUGCGGUGCACGCCACCAAAACAACAAAGGCUUCUUUCUGCCCCGUGACACCUUAUCAUGGCUCCUUGUCGGCCUGUUUACUUGAUUACGUGGCCAUGAUUUGCCUCCCUCCUCCGCCCUUGGACCCUUCUUCCUUCCCUCGACCGCAAUAUCCUUGGAAAUUGCAUCGGUUUUACUGCAAUCGUUAUUACUGCAACGAACAGGUUGGAGAUACGCCUUUUCGAAAGUUUCUUCGCGGAAGUACGAUUCCAUUGUUGAAAACUACGUUUGAUUUCUAGCGUGCGACACUGUUUCACAGGACAUUGGUUACGCGAACUCGAGAACGUACUUCAAGGUCAACGAAUAUGGUUCACGCGGAAUACUUUCACGAAGCUUCAAGAAAAUUGCAUUGGCGCACCCUGUAUGUAGAUGAGCUACAAGUAAACAACGAACUGUCAUACAGAAGCUGCAAGCUGCAUGAAAUCAGAGUCAAGACAUCACCGAGGGAACCUCGAAUAUCUACGAGGUGUACUUAAAAAACAAUUUUCUGGCCGAGACGACGCCGAGUUAGCGUUGGUUAAUAGUCGAGCAACGGGGUCGUAACGCUGGAUUUACGAGCGCCAUUGGCUUCGACACUUUGCGGGACAGGCUGCGAAAGCAAAAUAAAGGGUAGGGAAAAAUGCGAUUCGCGCCGGGGAACAAUGGCGCUGGAAGAGAUGGGGACGCGGAUGCGUGGCCGAGACAGGUCCAGGGCAUUAUGUUUCGAGCACAAUGGCUCGCGAGGAGCAGUAUGCGCUCCGCGGUAAUCCGUCGCCCCGUGUGUACUUACGCGUCCUCGUUGCGAGCAGGGGUCGGGCCUGGGGGAUGGGGUGCAGCGACGUGUUUUCGCAGCGAGUGACGUAAGGGAACGGCCCCGGAGACUUUCGCGCGUUGCGCGCUCGUUGAAAGGGACCGGGUAGGGUGGGUAGAGCUCUGGUUGCUGGGGGUCGCACGUAGGAACCUCGCGGACCGAUCGUUUCUCGCGAUGGACGAGGAGUUCCGGCGAGAUGCGUCGCGCAGGAGUUCUGUAGUCUGAUAGGACACCUCGAAUCGUGCAUCUACCCUAAAUCAGUCGGUCCAUCAGCUCUAUCAAGAUACUCGUCGCCUCGCCGAAAAGGUGCGCACGUAGCACUUUCACGGAGAAAUCUCAUUUCUCCGCGAGAGAGCGACUGUCAGGGCCGUGCGAAGGUUCUCGCGAGCCCUACAGGCCCGCAUGUUCGACGCAAUAGUCCCUUUUCGUGCGCAGAGCACAAGACUAUCUCUCGCUCCUCGACUCCCGGCUCGAAUAACCUGCAGCACUCCAGAAACGGAUGACCGGCUCCGGCUCGCAGCUCCGGAGUCCCCGGUCAUAAAGCAAUUUCCAGGAUAAUCGGGGUCUAACCAACUGCGGCGUGACAGUAAUCAAAUGAUCAGAGGAGAGGCAGCGGCGGGACGGAGGAAACUCGAGCGAGCCGGGCCGGGCCGGGCCGGGCCGGGCCGGUCCGAGGCAGCAGUUCACCCGUUCAGCGAACGGGUGGCGGCGGUGUAUCGCGGCCCGUAAGAAGCGUAAUACGCUUAAAAAGAAGGGUAUGACGUCACGAAGAGGUGGCACGCCGCGGCGCGUGCCGUCGGAUGGGGUACGCGGGUUUAUCGUGGCCCCGUGGGGAACAGAGACAACAGACCAGAGCAGGGGAGUGUAACCGGUGCAACCUGGCCUCUGCGGCAGCGCAGGGGCCCGGCGGCGAGAGGGGGCAGAAAAGCUUCGGCGGAGGGACGAGGACCGACGAAGAAGUUCGGCGAGCGAGGAAGACGGACGGCAAGAUAGAGAGAAGAGAGAAAGGAAGAAGACAGGCGCCCCGAGGAGUCUACGACAGGCGAGCAGGCAGGCAAGAAGUCCGCACGAGUGGCUGGGGUGUCGUACAGGGGCUACGGUGGUGGGGGUGGGCGCGUGCAGCCGGCCUGCAGCUGCCUCGUUCCCCGUCCCGUGCCCCUCCCUCGGCGAUCACGUCGCGAGCCACCGGCGCAGCCGCUACCCACCACCCCUCUCGGUCGGCAACCCCUCUCGCCGGGGGCCCGGCGGGACCACAAUUAUAAGUAGGGGUGCUCCCGGCUUACUACCUCCAGUCGAGGGUUGCACGCCGUGGUGUAGACGCUCGGACACAGACGCGUCCCAUCCAAACGUUCUAGCGCACGCGUGUAGCCGAAUCGUAACACAGUUUUUCAAACGUUCCUUUUCUCUCCUGUCGUAUCAGUAGACGGAGGAUUCGAGGUUGGACGCACCGGUGCGCGACAGAGCUCCGUCGUGGUCCAGAGCAGGAUAGAAAGCAUCAGGACAACAUAGCCGGGGAUACGUCUCGGUCGGAACUGUUGGAAGGUUCGCAGGAUAACCGACGUUUCGAAGUUCGUUCCA